rnacentral:rRNA from 1 species
UUAAGAGCUUGCUCUUAUGAAGUUAGCGGCGGACGGGUGAGUAACACGUGGGUAACCUGCCCAUAAGACUGGGAUAACUCCGGGAAACCGGGGCUAAUACCGGAUAACAUUUUGAACUGCAUGGUUCGAAAUUGAAAGGCGGCUUCGGCUGUCACUUAUGGAUGGACCCGCGUCGCAUUAGCUAGUUGGUGAGGUAACGGCUCACCAAGGCAACGAUGCGUAGCCGACCUGAGAGGGUGAUCGGCCACACUGGGACUGAGACACGGCCCAGACUCCUACGGGAGGCAGCAGUAGGGAAUCUUCCGCAAUGGACGAAAGUCUGACGGAGCAACGCCGCGUGAGUGAUGAAGGCUUUCGGGUCGUAAAACUCUGUUGUUAGGGAAGAACAAGUGCUAG